UGGCUUACUAAUUUUAAAAUAUAUUUGAUAAAAAUAAUUUUGUGACAGUGCGAUUUAUAUGAUUCUACAAUUAAAACUGGUAGAAAAUAUUUAUUUUGAAUUAAAAUAUCCGACUUAUUAAUUUUAAAAUAUAUUAGAUAAAAAUAAUUUUGUGACGGUGCAAUUUAUAUGAUUCUACAAUUAAAGCUGAUAGGAAAUAUUUAUCUUGGAUUAAAAAAAAUCAUAAACAUGUGAAAGACAGAAUUUGUUUUGGAUUCAGAAAAAGAAUUAUAAACAUGCAUAUCAGUUGCCUUAUAGAAUUAGAAGUUAAUUUUGUUCUAAUCUAACGGUACUUAUUUGUUCAAUAUACGAUCCAACGGAUGAUAAGCUUUUGGACCAUGUGACCA
rnacentral:lncRNA from 1 species